rnacentral:rRNA from 1 species
CCAGACUCCUACGGGAGGCAGCAGUGAGGAAUAUUGGUCAAUGGUCGGGAGACUGAACCAGCCAAGCCGCGUGAGGGAUGAAGGUACAGAGUAUCGUAAACCUCUUUUGUCAGGGAACAAAGGCGGGGACGCGUCCCCGGAUGAGUGUACCUGAAGAAAAAGCAUCGGCUAACUACGUGCCAGCAGCCGCGGUAAUACGUAGGUGGCAAGCGUUAUCCGGAUUUAUUGGGUUUAAAGGGUGCGUAGGCGGGCUGUUAAGUCAGGGGUAAAAGCGCGGGGCUCACCCCCGGCGAGCCGUUGAAACUGGCUGUCUUGAGAUGUCGAGAGGUAUGCGGAAUGCGCAGUGUAGCGGUGAAAUGCUUAGAUAUUGCGCAGAACUCCGAUUGCGAAGGCAGCAUACCGGCGGCGAUCUGACGCUGAGGCACGAAAGCGUGGGUAUCGAACAGGAUUAGAUACCCCUGUA